GCCGGGAUAGCUCAGCUGGGAGAGCAACAGACUGAAGCUAUCGAGAGCCUUCUGGAGGUCGCGUGUUCAAUCCACGCUCCUGGCA